CACCGCGCGCCGAUGGUUGUCUUUUGGUUUCCGUUAGAUCUUUUCAAAAACGUAUCUCGAAAAACAUGCGUUAAAUUUGCCGGGAAGCGGGAUAUAUCAUAUUUGACUAAAUAUAUAUUAUUACUAUGAUUGUUUUACAUAUUCCCAGCGAGCCAAUUGUUUUUGGGCCGUGACGCGGGAUUCUUUUUGUUUAUGUUCUUUUGAAACCCUGUGUGCGAAAAGAUAAAACCCUUUUUCGAAAAAAAAUAAAACCGCGAAGUGGAGUGAAAAAUUUGCAUCACUUUGUGCAUAUUAAAACAAUAUAACCGCAAAAAUAUUGAUACUAUUUAAUAUGAUUUGAUAUUUGAUUUUUCCCACAAUUGUUUUGUUCUUGUGAAAGCGAAUCAAACAAAAUUUGCAUACAAAUCGAGGGAUUGGCGGAUAUCUUUUAAAAGGUUCCGGCCCCAGCUGAGGAAAACCAACAGAAAAGAACAAGAAACCGAACUGUAGAAGGCGCACAGUGGGGAGAUAUCAACACCAGAUCGCUUAAUAUCGAACCGAACCGAACCGAACCGAAAAGCUAAUCCGAACCAGACGCGAUGCACUGCAACCAAAAGCGUAACGAAAACACGACGACCAAUCUUUGCUAAAAAA